rnacentral:lncRNA from 1 species
CUUAAUUGUUAGGAACUUAAUUCUUUUGGUGAAUUCUUUCUCGCUGAUGUUCACUUUUCUUCUACCCAGAGAAAAUAAAUAAAACUUGAUUUCACUACUCUGGAAAAUGAAGAUUAUUUUUUCUACGAUAAACUUUUAGUUCCCAGAAGUUUGGAGCCUCCAGUAUUAGAAUUGUCUCCUGGAGCAAAAGCCCAGUUGGAAGAACUCAUGAUGGUUGGAGACCUCCUAGAAGUGUCUCUGGAUGAGACACAACACAUAUGGCGGAUUUUGCAGGCCACACAUCCACCCUCAGAGGACAGAUUCUUACAUAUCAUGGAGGAUGAUAGCGUAGAAGAGAAACCAUUAAAAAUGAAAGGAAAGGAUUCUUCAGAGAAGAAACGGAAGCGGAAAUUAGAAAAGGUAGAACAGUUUUUUGGAGAAGGAAAACAGAAGACCAAGGAGCUAAAGAAAAUAGAUAAACCUAAAAAGAAGAAAUUAAAA